UACGUAGGGGGCAAGCGUUGUCCGGAGUUACUGGGCGUAAAGCGCACGCAGGCGGUCUCUUAAGUUUGGAGUGACAGUUGGUGGCUUAACUGCCAAAGUGCAUCGAAAACUGAGAGACUUGAGGGCUUCAGAGGGACACGGAAUUCCGAGUGUAGAGGUGAAAUUCGUAGAUAUUCGGAAGAACACCAGUGGCGAAGGCGGCUCACUGGACCGGUAUUGACGCUGAGGUGCGAAAGCGUGGGGAGCAAACAGG
rnacentral:rRNA from 1 species